rnacentral:rRNA from 1 species
AUUGAACGCUGGCGGCAUGCCUUACACAUGCAAGUCGAACGGUAACAGCACUUCGGUGGCUGACGAGUGGCGAACGGGUGAGUAAUACAUCGGAACGUGCCCGAGAGUGGGGGAUAACGCAGCGAAAGCUGUGCUAAUACCGCAUACGAUCUACGGAUGAAAGCAGGGGAUUCGCAAGGACCUUGCGCUCAUGGAGCGGCCGACGGCAGAUUAGGUAGUUGGUGGGAUAAAAGCUUACCAAGCCGACGAUCUGUAGCUGGUCUGAGAGGACGACCAGCCACACUGGGACUGAGACACGGCCCAGACUCCUACGGGAGGCAGCAGUGGGGAAUUUUGGACAAUGGGGGAAACCCUGAUCCAGCCAUGCCGCGUGCAGGAUGAAGGCCUUCGGUUGUAAACUGCUUUG